AUUGAACGCUGGCGGCAUGCCUUACACAUGCAAGUCGAACGGUAACGGGCCUUCGGGUGCCGACGAGUGGCGAACGGGUGAGUAAUACAUCGGAACGUGCCCGAUCGUGGGGGAUAACGAGGCGAAAGCUUUGCUAAUACCGCAUACGACCUACGGAUGAAAGCAGGGGACCGCAAGGCCUUGCGCGGACGGAGCGGCCGAUGGCAGAUUAGGUAGUUGGUGGGAUAAAAGCUUACCAAGCCGACGAUCUGUAGCUGGUCUGAGAGGAUGAUCAGCCACACUGGGACUGAGACACGGCCCAGACUCCUACGGGAGGCAGCAGUGGGGAAUUUUGGACAAUGGGCGCAAGCCUGAUCCAGCCAUGCCGCGUGCAGGAUGAAGGCCUUCGGGUUGUAAACUGCUUUUGUACGGAACGAAAAGCCUUCUUUUAAUACAGGAGGGUCAUGACGGUACCGUAAGAAUAAGCACCGGCUAACUACGUG
rnacentral:rRNA from 1 species